rfam:Oryza rufipogon genomic scaffold, chr07
AGUAAGAGUACUCCCUGUGGGUUUUUUUAGUGUCCAACAUUUGACCAUCCGUUUUAUUUGAAUUUUUUUUAUAAUUAGUGUUUUUAUUGUUAUUAGAUGAUAAAAUAUGAAUAGUACUUUAUACAUGGCUUGAUUUUUAAAAAAAUUUCACAAAUUUUUCAAAUAAAACGAAUGGUCAAACGUUGGACACAAAGACUUAAAAUGGGACAGAGG